rnacentral:rRNA from 1 species
ACGCGUGGAACCUUACCAGGUCUUGACAUCCUCUGACACUCCUAGAGAUAGGACGUUCCCCUUCGGGGGACAGAGUGACAGGUGGUGCAUGGUUGUCGUCAGCUCGUGUCGUGAGAUGUUGGGUUAAGUCCCGCAACGAGCGCAACCCUUGAUCUUAGUUGCCAGCAUUCAGUUGGGCACUCUAAGGUGACUGCCGGUGACAAACCGGAGGAAGGUGGGGAUGACGUCAAAUCAUCAUGCCCCUUAUGACCUGGGCUACACACGUGCUACAAUGGAUGGUACAAAGGGCAGCAAAACCGCGAGGUCGAGCAAAUCCCAUAAAACCAUUCUCAGUUCGGAUUGUAGGCUGCAACUCGCCUACAUGAAGCUGGAAUCGCUAGUAAUCGCGGAUCAGCAUGCCGCGGUGAAUACGUUCCCGGGCCUUGCACACACCGCCCGU